ensembl:rRNA 5S_rRNA 5S ribosomal RNA
GCUUACGGCCAUACCAGCCCAAGAACGCCCGGUCUCGUCUGAUCUCGGAAGCUAAGAAGGCUUGGGCCUGAUUAGUACUAGGAUGGGAGACCUCCUGGGAAUACCAGGUGCUGUAAGCU